CCUAAAGAAGCUAUGAACCAGCAUUAGCCUUUUAAGCUAAAGAAAGAGGGGACCCUCCCCUCCUUAAUGA
rnacentral:tRNA from 1 species